rnacentral:rRNA from 1 species
AUACGGAGGAUCCGAGCGUUAUCCGGAUUUAUUGGGUUUAAAGGGUGCGCAGGCGGCCAUUUAAGUCAGCGGUUAAAUCGUGGGGCUCAACCCCAUUCUGCCGUUGAUACUGGGUGGCUUGAUUGCGGUCGAGGUUGGCGGAAUUCGUUGUGUAGCGGUGAAAUGCAUAGAUAUGACGAAGAACACCGAUUGCGUAGGCAGCUGACCAGACCGCAAAUGACGCUCAUGCACGAAAGUGCGGGGAUCGAACAGGAUUAGAUACCCUGGUAGUCCGCACAGUAAACGAUGAAUACUUGUUUUCGGCGAUAUAAUGUCGGAGGCAAAGCGAAAGCGAUAAGUAUUCCACCUGGGGAGUCCGCCGGCAACGGUGAAACUCAAAUGAAUUGACGGGG